rnacentral:tRNA from 1 species
GGAAGAGUGACGUCCCCGGUGGGAUGCCUGGUCUUCAAAACCAGUGAGGCGCUCAAAAGCGUCUGGUGGGUUCGACUCCUACCUCUU